GUAGAUUGGGAUACUCUUCAAAUUAUACUGAAAUGCCGAGACAAGCGUCGCUGCCAAUGGCGGGCCUCAACCGCAAGGUGCCAACGCAAGUUGCCAGAGGAUUACAAAGGCGCGAUGCCCUCAAAACCUUGUUUUAUCGGAGUUUCAUCACAUCCUUUGGUGUGGUUUUUU
rnacentral:sRNA from 1 species